UCCGGCUAGACUUGCGUGGCCUCUCCUGCCCUGCCUCGUGGCCAGCGCCCCUGGGAGCAGAGCCAGCCUCAGGGAAUGUCACCCCACGCUGGGAUGAGUCACCCCAGCGCCCCUGGCCUUCAGCCAAAGCAGAUCCCCCCCCCUUACCCCUCCUUGGCACUGGAUCAAGGCUUCAUAAUCCCAGAAAUAUAGGGCUACAAGCGACCUCAAAAGGCUAUCCAGCCUAUCUCCCUGUGCUGAGGCAGUACACAAGAUACCUGGAAGGUCCCACAGAGAUGUCCUGGAGAAAUCUCCAGUGAAGGGAAUUCUACCUCUUCUCCAGGGCUGUCUGGAGAUCAGCACAAGCUCCGGAUAUCAUCAGUUGGAGCAACCGCAAAGUUGUUCAGCCUUAUGCACAAGUUCGGGGAACCAGAGACCAGCUAUUGAACAGGGUUGCUGUAGCCUCACUCCUCCUUUAUUCUAAAGGUUUGGGUCAGGGUCAGUGGAGGAACAUUUCAGCAACUCUGUAUCAUCGGAGCAAUCUUUUUAUGCGCAUGACAGUCCUUGAACCCAUUUCUGUGGCCAAGGUGGAGUGAAGUAGAUAUAAUACCAUAGGCAGUCAGUCCCAGUGUGAUUUGUGAGCUUGGAAGCAUUCUUUGUAGACCCUGACUUCUGUUUCACAUUUGUUAUCUUUUCCUCAGUUUGGGGCAUUUCACCUUGGAUGCCCUUUUGAGACACAUUUGUACCUCAACUUCUUCCACCUGUAAAAUUAAAUAAUAAAUACUUCUCUACCUCACAGGGAAGCAGAGGCUUUGAAGUUUAAUUCAUGCUUGUAAAAUUUGAGAUCUAAGGAAAGGGGUUGAAAAGAGCCAGGAGAUUUUCUUGCCUCAGUCACUGAGCUCGCUGCCACACCUGGGGUUCUUUAAAAUAACCUGCAGCUGAGCUGGCUCAGCCCUGCUAGCAGUUGUUGUCAGAGCAGCUGACGGCUCUAUGGACACAGAUUUUCAACAUCAGCACACCCAGGAGAAGGAAACUUGCUGUUUCUUCAUCAAACUGUACCUAAAGGUACCUUAAUUUAUGUGUAUUGUGGUAGUGUUUAGGGGACCAGAACCCCAUUGUUUUAGAUACUUUGCAAACACAGCUCCUGUUUUGAGGCACUUCUAAGGAAAGGUAGAAAAAGAUCAGUCACUAAGUCUUUUUAAUGGAAAAGGCUUCAUGAGUAGAAAUGGUGGAAGGUUGUUGAUGUAUUUCUUCAAGAGCCUCAUUCCUUUGCCAGAACUCAGCCAGAUGAGGGUAUCAUGAGAAAUGACUUCCUUUGUGUCCUGCCUUUCCGCUGUCUACUGGAGAUAAGGUUUUAAACAGCUGUACACGAAUAUGUGCUGGCUAUAAAUGAAUCGGGUGUUCUGGGGUGUGAGUUAUCGGAGUGAGCUUGUGGAUGCUGGGCCUGGAGAUGAACUCCCCAGUAUGUGUUGUAGGGGAAGGGAAAAGGGUUUGGUUUAGAAACUUGGUUCUAUCUGUUGUUAUAAUAAAGCUAGGCAUCAACAACAGAGUUCAGAUCUGGCUUUGCAACUGGCUCUGCAAAGUUGGCAGCUGGUCAGGACUAAGGAUUUGCUUUAAGUCUACCUCAGCAAAGAGGCUUUUGAAGUCCCUGUGGAUGAAGUGCACUACUAUCUAUGUGGCUCCCAGUUUAUUGUGGCUAUAAACUAUAUGAUGCUACCAUCUAUAAGGGUGACAAAGUCCCCAGAUUGGUUAGAGGGCAGAACUUGGGAUGAGGUCUGAUUAAUUCUGUUAAUAUGACAUAAAAUACUCUGCUUAAUUCUGCACCACUGGAAUUUGCAACAAAUGGAAAGCAGGUAUUGGGUGUUUAUCACUCCUACUCCUAACUUGUGUAACCUGUAACAUACUACCAGUGUGUAGUACUUACAAUGUAUUAUGUGUAUUAAAGUAGCGCCUAAAGGAUCUCCCUAAAGUGAGGUAUGUUCUUAUGAGGUCUCAUUUUGUUAUGCAUAUGCUAUAAUAAGACAGUCUCUGCCUAGAGGACCUUACAGUCUAAACAGACAGGACAAAGAGUAGA